UGAAGGACUUUUAUUAAAAAGCAGCUGUUUUACUCGUUGCAUUUCAAUGAAAAAAAGUGACUCAUCUAUCAACAACUGAAAAUUAUUAUGAACAUAUUGGAACGACUAUUCUUGUGCAACAUGAACCCCGGUAACUUGGCUGUUUUAUAACGUUGUUUCAGUCAGGACAUGUGUUGACAUUAGGAUUUUAUUGGUUUAGAUAAUAAUUAGAAAGCAGUCUCUCAACAUGUUUCCAACCGGGAAAUGUAUCAUUUUCAUUCGGUCCAAAGCCCUUUCAACAAACUUCAUGAUCACAUGGAAUCCGUUUUAACACGUGGACUGGUUCAUAUGAGGGUCAGCUCUGGCCCAUGUAAAAACAGCAUACAAACAUGGUUUAUGCCAAUGUCGGGACACUUCUUAUUCAUGAAGCACCAACUAAUCCACCGCUUGUUGCACCAGUGAAAUCUAAUUCAAUAAAAAUAGCUAGUAGCUAAUUGAGUGAAUACCAGAAGCGAGUUGGAUAUAAUGACAUGGCAGUUUAGCAGGAGCUCAGCUAUUCAUGACAGAUCCCCCCUCAGUGCACGUUGAGGCGCACGUCGCUGCUCUGAUUGUCGGCGCUUUGAGCAGAUGGCUUUAAAGGUUCAUCCUUGUCUCUGCCUGACGUUGAGGCUUGCACGCAUUUUAAUUUCCACAUUUUAAAGUGCUGACGUGUUAUUUUCAAACAUGAAAUCAAUUUUUAUUAAGAAAAAUAAGCAUUUAUAGUAUUAUGGUUUAUGGGUUUAGGAUUGAGGGUUAAAACGUAAUUACUCGUUCAUUGUUGUAUGCUGCUCCUUUUGUUGGAUGAAUAUUUUAAAAUUUCUAACUUUACUAUUUGUACUAAUUAUUUCUGCUUUGUUUUACAUUUGCUUUCUAUAGUAUGCUUAUAUUUGCCUACUGAUCUUUUUUUAUAUCUUACGUGUAUGCAUGGACAGUGCUGCAAGUACUCAAAGUCAAAGUCAAAUCCCUUGUAUGUGUGAAAAUAUAAGGCUGUGUGGGCCUAAAAUACAAGGCUACAACCCCAUCAAGGCGCAACGGUUGUGUGCUUUGGUAGCAAGUUGAGCUAAUAAUGUAAAGCCUAAUAAGACUUAUUACCUGAACUCAGAUACCUUAUCCUCCCCUGAUCACAGAUGUGUAAUGUUUUUUGUAAAAAACAAAAGAGCAACAAGGUUCUUCUUCUAAAUUGCAUGCAGACUCCUUUUUCUUCAUGGAACUUUUAGUUUUCAUCAAAUGAGGGAAAUGCAGUAAGACAGGUGAAUACAAACGCUGUACAGUUGCAUACUGUAUUUAUAUCCUUUAAGGUUAGCUAUGACAUUCUUUCAGAAUUGUCCUCUUUACAAACAGUUCAAUUUGUACUGUACAACACACAGGUCAAAAAAGCAAAGCGGAAGAGAGUGAAGUUGAAUGAAACAAGAAAUUAUUUAAAACAGCCUGGAUCAGACCACGUUUAAGACGAUACAAAGCCGCAUAGUCUCUGAAAAAGGCAAUGGACAUGAUUGAACGGGUACAAAUGUCUGCAUAUAUCUUUAACAAAAGGAAACAAAGAAUUGGACAUACCGCUGUUUAAACAUUGGUCGGCCCACGACAUCCACAUUCCAUGCUAGUUGAUGAUGAACAUUUCACCUUGACAAACUUUGUUUCAAAAAUUCUGAAGUUUAUAAGAGUGCAUAAUUUCAAGGACAUCAAAUUGAUGAGUUAUUUUGGGAUAUAAUUUUUGCUGAAGCAGAGGAUAAUACUCAAAACUUUCAAGCUGGAAACAUGGUUAUGACGAACAGAAAAUCAAGAGAACCUCGGAAUUCCUAACUGUAAAUUAACAUUUAACUGGAGAUAAUACAACUGGAGAUAAUCUUGUUAAUGUCUGGACACAAAUCAUGUCAACAUUUGCAUUUUAAGGCACUAAUCCACCCUCCCAUGUAUAACACUCUGGUUAGAAAAAUCGAAUGUUCAGAUCAAUCCAUGACUAACAUUUAAUUUGCUAUCUUCAUGUAAAGUCAAAUUCCUUCUAGAUUAAAUUGUAGCUUCACCAAAUGAUGUAUAGGAUUUGGUAUAUUCAAAUGAUUUAUGAUAAGAUAAACCCAUUGAUUGUCAUUCGUGAUCCUUAAUGUGUUUAACCAUUUAUGGGAAAUCUAACUUUUCAAUGAAAUCCAUAUAUAAAUUGCUAUGAAAUUUGCCGAAGAAAAAUCAGCAAACUGAUAUUUGUAUAUUUCAAAGUGCAUUAGGCUACAGGCCUAUCAAAUUUAUGUUAUCGAAACAAAUACUAGGCUACCUAAUAUCAAUUAAGAAAUAAAUUAAUUCUACUGUAAUUUGAAAGGUGGAAAUUGGAAUUUAAAACCUUUUGUUAGCCUUUUGUUUUGAGAUUUUUAAUUAUUCUAAUAUUUCCCUAAAUCAUGGUUUGUAGCGUUCUCUUAAGCUAUAUCUCAUAUGUACAGACUUGUCACUAUAACACAGCCUAAAAAGCAGAGGGAAACUAAAAAAAAACGAAGUAAGUGAUUAAAAGAAUAUUUGUUGGAAUUUAGAGAUAAUGGGUUGAGCCUUAACCUAGUGUGACGUAAUUAUUUUUAAAUCGUAACAUUACUUUCCAUCUUUUUGGAAGACCUAUUCAAAGCCAACAUUGUUAAAAAAAAAAGAAAACAUCCUUAGUUUAUAUCAACAUUCAUCCUCUCACGGUCAAAUUGUUAACCUUACAGGCCAUUUUGCUGUGUCGCCAAAUUUUAAUGAAAGUUUUGUAUUUUACCAAUUGGAUAAAAGGCUUGGACCCUCAUCCAAUACAGUGCUACAGUUUACAUUCAUCCAUAAUUACCACAUUCUCGUCCAGCCUUGUUUUCUAUGGCAGAUCACAUUUUUUUUUAAAAAUAAAAUAAAAUACUGUAAACCUUUUUUGAUACCUAGUGCAAUUUUACCCUGUCCACCUUGUGCAGGGCAAUUUUAAAGCUUCCCCACACCAAAGACAUGAACGUUUACAAAAAAAAACAGAAUAGCUGGCCCAUUCAUUUUAAAUGAUGAGCCGUAGAAGCGUUAGCAUACAGUUUAAAUUUACAGUGGGCACACAUUUUUUUGCCUAGCAAUUAGCAAAGUCUUGUUAAUAUUCAACGUUUUCAGCAAAAAGCCAUUUGACUUAACUUCAGCUGUAAGACAUUUAACUUCAAAGACAACAAAUACGUGUAUUUCCGACAUUUUAACAACGAUCGCUUAGAUUUUCAAAAAUGCUGGUGACUUAAAUGAGUUACCACUUAAUAUUGGCGGACAAUCAAAUUGAUGGUCUGAAGCUUUGACUAUGGUCCCUGUUCACCCAGUCCCCGCCUGGUUCUAAAUGCUAGCUUGGUUAGCGUUAAGGACCAAGGAGGAGCCAAGAUGGCUGCCAGGCGAUUAAGGCCCAUUGAACGUAGGAGGCGUUGCAACAGUGUUUAAAUAUCUCUGCUUAUACCCAAUAAGCAUUGGCUGACGAGAUUACAUCCUUAAGUGUGGCACAAAGCGUGAAAAAACAAAAAAUAGAAGUGACAAGAAAAACAUUUCCAAGUCCUUAUUCAACAUAUUCCUCUAAAAGAAACUACAAAUGUGACCAAUCUGCCAGUUGUAAAAUUCACAAGGGAGACGAAGGGAGGGCAAUUUCAGUCGAUUCUUUAGUACGGUCACAUAAAAAAACUACCACAAACAAACAAAGGUCUCCCAUAUUUCAACUCUUCUUUUUAAGUGCAAAUGCAACAAGCCAGCAGAAAUCGCUCUAAUUAGUUUCAUUCAAUAAUUUACAAAAAACAAGAAAAGAAAAGUUGGGGAGGAGGAGGAGGAGGAUGAAAGCUGGACUACAAAGUCUUAGUGUCUCUCGAAUCAACCUCAUCGUCAUCGUCUUCGUCACGGUGAACCACGCUCAUCUCUGGCUUGGGCGCAUCCUGUACCGUAUUGCACUAGUGUUCACCACAACGUAGCGUAGUGUGCUUCCUCAUCAUCAUCAUCAUCAUCAUUAUCACUCAAGCUCCUCUCCCCCCUCCUACCCCAUUGUUCGGUGCCAAUGUCAAUCUACAUGCUGAUAAUCCCGACGUAACUUAUCUUGAGGGCAGCAGCUGGUCUGGAUGUGGAUGCGGUCAUUGUUGGUGGCACCAUUGUUUGCACCAUUGCUUGCACUUUUGUUAUUGUUGUUGUCAUCGCCGUCAUUGUUAUUUUAUUUUUUUACUUUAUAAUACGCUGAAUUCAUUCUCAGUAUUACGACGCAUGCAAGCUCUGUAAGUGCCUGUUGUCGCUCAGGUGUUCAUGACACCGUCCCUUGGGGCUUGUAUAUACUGUCUGUAUAUUAGGGGGAAGAAAAUGGUGCUUAGACAGUUGUACUGCAAGGCUGUGUGUUUGUGUUUGUGGGUGUGUGAAGGAGAGCUUGAGAGACAGAGAGAAAGUGAGAGUACCAGAGCGAGCAAAAGAGAG
ensembl:lncRNA